GGCGGUGUCCAUACGCUCCAGGCCACACCUGUUCCCAUCCCGAACACAGUAGUUAAGCUGGAGCGGCCGAUGGUACUGCAUCUGCGGGAGAGUAGGUCAGCGCCGCCU
rnacentral:rRNA from 1 species